AUUGAACGCUGGCGGCAUGCCUUACACAUGCAAGUCGAACGGCAGCACGGGGCAACCUGGUGGCGAGUGGCGAACGGGUGAGUAAUGCAUCGGAACGUACCUUUCAGUGGGGGAUAACGUAGCGAAAGUUACGCUAAUACCGCAUAUUCUGUGAGCAGGAAAGCAGGGGAUCGCAAGACCUUGCGCUGAUUGAGCGGCCGAUGUCAGAUUAGCUAGUUGGUGAGGUAAAGGUUCACCAAGGCGACGAUCUGUCGCGGGUCUGAGAGGAUGAUCCGCCACACUGGAGCUGAGACACGGUCCAGACUCCUACGGGAGGCAGCAGUGGGGAAUUUUGGACAAUGGGGGCAACCCUGAUCCAGCCAUGCCGCGUGAGUGAAGAAGGCCUUCGGGUUGUAAAGCUCUUUCGGCCGGGAAGAAAUCGCACGGGCUAAUACCCUGUGUGGAUGACGGUACCGGAAUAAGAAGCACCGGCUAACUACGUGCCAGCAGCCGCCGUAACAC
rnacentral:rRNA from 1 species